rnacentral:rRNA from 1 species
UACGUAGGUCCCGAGCGUUGUCCGGAUUUAUUGGGCGUAAAGCGGGCGCAGGUGGUUUAUUAAGUCUGGUGUAAAAGGCAGUGGCUCAACCAUUGUAUGCAUUGGGAACUGGUAGACUUGAGUGCAGGAGAGGAGAGUGGAAUUCCAUGUGUAGCGGUGAAAUGCGUAGAUAUAUGGAGGAACACCGGUGGCGAAAGCGGCUCUCUGGCCUGUAACUGACACUGAGGCUCGAAAGCGUGGGGAGCAAACAGG